AAGCCAGGACUGCUUUUCUGGAGUGAUAAUGUGCUUGCCUGUGUCUAAGAGAAAGGUGAAGAAUUGGGAAACCCAUGGGUGUCACGAAGGGUGGUGAGACUGGGGAACGUUUUAGAAAACCUGUACCCUGGCUGAUAAAUGGGACUUGGAUUUUAAAUACCAUUGGAUAAUAAAUGUAUGUGAUGGCUUUGGAGCAAAUUGAUUGACAAUGGCUAGAAUCUCACUCUGUAGUCACCCAGGCUGGAAUGCAGUGGUGCGAUCUUGGCUCACUGCAACCUCCACCUCCCAGAUGCAAGCGAUUCUUGUGCCUCAGCCUCCCGAGUAGCUGGGAUUAAAGGCAUGCGCCACCACGCCCAGGAGACAGCUUCCCAAGGCUGGAAAGAGGGGAGUGCGGAACAUGCCUCCACCAUACCACUGCCCACCUCCUGUGACCUCUGCAGCAAAACCUGAAGCCCCAAAGAGGCAGCUUCUCAAAGUAAAAGUGGAAUGAAGUUCCUGGUGACCUGAAUUCCCAUGGAGGAAAGAGGAAAAGGACAUUAUGCAAGGAGAUGGCAUCUCGUGUCCCUGGUGAACCAAAUUCCAUUAGGAAGACGGUGCAGUGUGAGGUGGACCUGGACCUGGAUAAAAUGGGUGUUUAACAAGUAUUUGUUGAGUAGGUGGUGGAGGAGGCACGACUAGAUGCAGGGUCUAGCUGAGUUGACAAGAGCUAACACCAGGUGUGGACCAGGACAGGGGGACCUUAAGCGAAGACACCCUGCCAGAUGUGUCUUGUUCCCUUGACUGUGGGGAGGCCCUUGGUGGUGGGGUGACGGUCCCCCAGUCUGAGGAUUUUCCCUGGAUGUAGCCUCUCAGUGCUAAAAUGGGACAGUCCCAGGCAAACCAGGUCAGUUGGUCACUCUACUCAGUGAGCCCCGUGCUGUGUUCAAAUUUUCCUCUUAACAGAUGUGGAUGGAUUUCGGAAACUUAGAAACCACCAUUUCUCUGUGCCUGGGAGGAGAGUUAAAUCUUCUCACCAGAAUCCUUUUAUGUGUGAGAGAAAUAAAUAUCUAUCCUUUUUAUAUCUCUUUUGUUUUGGAUUCUUUGUCACCAGCAGCCAAACCCAAUUCUUACAUAAACGUGAUACUAAUUAAAUUCAUUUGCAUAAACUCACCAGUUUUAUCCUUAAUUACUGUGAUAUACACUCAUGAAGUAUGUACCCUAAAAUACCACUGUAAGUUUUAUUUGAUUACAGCAUUAAACUUAAUUUACAGAAAUGCUUGGCUUCUUUCAAUAGCUUGUUGAUUACAUAGUAUGAUCAUCUUCUGAUAACUUAAAAGAAAAAAAAUGGAAGGACCCGUAUUCCUUCCAGCUUGUGAAUGGAGGCCCAGGGCACCAGACCCUGCUAUUGAAUUUGAAUAAAUGGGAUCUCUUUUGAACAGAAUCUGAGAGAUGGCAUUAACAUAUACCUCAUGGCCAAAGUGCAUUACAUUUAGCCUUUACUGCAGACAGUUGUUUUUGGAGACACACUAUGACCUUUGGUAUAUCUGCAUCUGUGAAACAAUAAAGCAUUCUUUAAAUGAAG
rnacentral:lncRNA from 10 species